UACAGAGGUCUCAAGCGUUGUUCGGAUUCAUUGGGCGUAAAGGGUGCGUAGGCGGUGAAGCAAGUCUGGUGUGAAAUCCCGGAGCUCAACUCUGGAACUGCACUGGAUACUGCUUUACUUGAGCACUGGAGAGGAACUGGAAUUUGACGGUGUAGCAGUGAAGUGCGUAGAGAUCGUAAGGAAGACCAGCGGCGAAGGCGAGUUCCUGGACAGUUGCUGACGCUGAGGCACGAAGGCCAGGGGAGCAAACGGG
rnacentral:rRNA from 1 species